AUCCUGUCAAUCCAUGAGCAUGGGAGGUCUUUCCAUCUUCUGAGAUCUUCAAUUUCUUUCUUCAAAGGCUUGAAGUUCAUGUCAUACAGAUCUUUAACUUGCUUGGUUAAAGUCACACUGAGGGAUUUUAUAUUAUUUGGGACUAUUGCGAAGGGGCUUGAUUCCCUAAUUUCUUUUCUCAGACCUUUUAUCCUUUGAGUAGAGAAAGGCUACUUAUUUGUUUGACUUAACUUUAUAUACAGCCACUUUGCUGAAGUUGCUUAUCAGCUAUAGGAGGUCUCAGGUAGAAUUUUUGGAGUUGUUUAUAUAUACUAUUCUAUCAUCUGUAAAUACUGAUUUUUUACUUCAUCCAUCUCAAUUUGCAGCCCUUUGUCUAGUGUAUUUCUGUAAAACUUCUUCAUACACCUUCAAUUUUAGUUAACUACCCCUCUUCCUUAUACCAAACCACAUCCACACCUGCUCCUUAACCCACAGCUUUACCCCUCUAAUCUUCCCUGUCACCAGUACCUAAUUAUAUCACCUACCUAAUUAUAUUUUAAUCUCACAAUCAUAGGCUUCCAUAUGAGUCUUUAAUUACCCUUCAUUCUGGUUAAGCCAUCCACCACACCCUAAUUUCCUCAUUCCACAUCCAACUCCAUGAUUGAAACUUCCUGUCCCCACUAUUCUUCUUUAUUCUUUGUUUUAAUGGCAUUUCACUUGAUGGAUCCACUCCCUUCAUGGACCCAAUUCAAACUGUUUUCUAAUUACCUGGUUUUCUCACAUACUCCAUAUUACACAUACAAAAUAAAAGAUUCAAAUCUAAGAUCUACAUGUAAAAUAGAAUGCACAGAGUUUGUCUUUCUGAGCCUGGGUGAUCUCAUUGAGUACAAUAAUUUCCAGUUCCUUCUAUUUACUUGGAAAUUUUGUAUUUCAUUUUCUCUAUGGUUGAGCAAUAUUCUCUUAUAUAUUACAUUUUCCUGAUCCAUUCAUUGGUUGAUGAGCA
rnacentral:lncRNA from 1 species